rnacentral:lncRNA from 1 species
UUCCUCUCUAAAAUGAAAAGCAAAAUAAGAUUCCUUCCAACCAAAUACUUAGAAUGGGAGUCAUCCAUUUCGAUUCUCAUUUCAGAUCUUAAUUACCCCAACCAAACAUCCUCUCAAAGUUGACUCCCAAUUUUCAUUAACAGGUGCAAAUAUAAUCUCUCUAGCUUGGUGCACAACCAAAGUGCUCCUCAAACCCUUCCUCAUGGCAGCAUGGUCACAUCACUAUCUCUCA